GANCCGGGAAUAGCCCAGCUCAAGUUAUAGUCUGGAGAAGCAUCCUUAGCGAUGGACCGAGCCCAAGUCCAUUAAAAGGUGGCGUCAGAAAGGGUGAAAGCCCCAUUGUGCUUGUACCUUGUCGCACGAUGAAGUGAUGUCGGUAAGUCGGGUUGUUUGGGGAUGCAGCCCCAAUCGGGCAGUAAAUUAUGUCCAAGGCUAAAUACUGUUGAGAGAUCGAUAGUAAACAAGUACCAUGAGGGAAAGAUGAAAACAACUUUGAAAAGAUAGUCAAAGAGUGCUUGAAAUUGUCAGGAAGGAAGCAGAUGGUGGCUGGCGAUGCGCUCCGGUCGAAUGUGGAACGGUCACAAGCCGAUCCUCUGAUCAGCUCGGGGUGUGGACCGUAGAGACACCAUCAUCGCGAUCGUGGUGGGCAGCGUGGGCCUUCUCGGGGUGCUUCGGCAACUGUAGGCUUUUGGCGCCUGCCAGCGAGUUCCCCAUUCAACCU
rnacentral:rRNA from 1 species